rnacentral:rRNA from 1 species
CCUACGGGGGGCUGCAGUGAGGAAUAUUGGUCAAUGGACGAGAGUCUGAACCAGCCAAGUAGCGUGAAGGAUGACUGCCCUAUGGGUUGUAAACUUCUUUUAUAUGGGAAUAAAAUGUUCCACGUGUGGGAUUUUGUAUGUACCAUAUGAAUAAGGAUCGGCUAACUCCGUGCCAGCAGCCGCGGUAAUACGGAGGAUCCGAGCGUUAUCCGGAUUUAUUGGGUUUAAAGGGAGCGUAGGUGGAUUGUUAAGUCAGUUGUGAAAGUUUGCGGCUCAACCGUAAAAUUGCAAUUGAUACUGGCAGUCUUGAGUACAGUUGAGGUAGGCGGAAUUCGUGGUGUAGCGGUGAAAUGCUUAGAUAUCACGAAGAACUCCGAUUGCGAAGGCAGUUCACUGGACUGCAACUGACACUGAGGCUCGAAAGUGUGGGUAUCAAACAGGAUUAGAUACCCCAGUAGUC